UUACCCUGAAAAACCGAGUUUGU
rnacentral:miRNA from 1 species